rnacentral:misc_RNA from 1 species
UUUCCGUAGGUGAACCUGCGGAAGGGUCAUUGUAGGAUUGUUUUGGGAGGGGUGGUUGUGAUUUGUGGGUAUUGUGUGUGGUUGUUUGGAUUGCUUGGAUUGCUUGGAUUGCCUGGCUGUCUGCAACUCGACUCGUCUCAUCACAACCACUCUUUACAUUGGCACAGACCAGUGGUCUGAUGUUUAAAGCAACAGACUUGGUCUGAUGUUUGGAGCAACAGACCACUGGUGUCUGAUGUUUGCGCUUGCUCGUUUGACAGAAACAGUACCAUAUCAUAUUAUCAUUGCAAAACUUUUAACAAUGGAUCUCUUGGUUCUU